UGAGUACGAGCUGCUACGGCAGCGAAGUGGGUGAUGUCAAGCUUCCAAGAAAAGCCCUAUACCCGUUAAGGCAUGAUGGCCUGUACCCGAAACCGACACAGGUGGGGUGGUAGAGAAUACCGAGGGGCGCGAGAUAACUCUCUCUAAGGAACUCGGCAAAAUGGCCCCGUAACUUCGGGAGAAGGGGUGCCACCGCAAGGUGGUCGCAGUGAAGAGGCCCAGGCGACUGUUUACCAAAAACACAGGUCUCCGCUAAGUCGCAAGACGAUGUAUGGGGGCUGACGCCUGCCCAGUGCCGGAAGGUUAAGGAAGCUGGUCAGCGUAAGCGAAGCUAGCGACUGAAGCCCUGGUGAACGGCGGCCGUAACGAUAACGGUCCUAAGGUAGCGAAAUUCCUUGUCGGGUAAGUUCCGACCCGCACGAAAGGCGUAACGAUCUGGGCGCUGUCUCGGAGAGAGGCUCGGCGAAAUAGAAUUGUCUGUGAAGAUGCGGACUACGUGCACCCGGACAGAAAGACCCUAUGAAGCUUUACUGUAGCUUGGUAUUGUGCUCGGGCUCGGAAUGCGCAGGAUAGGUGGGAGGCUAUGAACCAUUGCUUGUGGGUGAUGGUGAGCCACUGGUGAGAUACCACUCUUUCCGAGCUAGAGUUCUAACAGCCACCCGUUAUCCGGGGGCUGGACAGUAUCAGGUGGGCAGUUUGACUGGGGCGGUCGCCUCCUAAAAGGUAACGGAGGCGCGCAAAGGUUUGCUCAGGCUGGUUGGAAAUCAGCCGACGAGUGUAAAAGCAGAAGCAAGCUUGACUGUGAGACCUACAAGUCGAACAGGGAGGAAACUCGGCUUUAGUGAUCCGACGGUUCUGCGUGGAAGGGCCGUCGCUCAACGGAUAAAAGUUACUCUAAGGAUAACAGGCUGAUCUCCCCCAAGAGUUCACAUCGACGGGGAGGUUUGGCACCUCGAUGUCGGCUCAUCGCAACCUGGGGCUGAAGUCGGUCCCAAGGGUUGGGCUGUUCGCCCAUUAAAGCGGUACGCGAGCUGGGUUCAGAACGUCGUGAGACAGUUCGGUCCAUAUCCGGUGCAUGCGCAGGAAUAUUGAGAGGAUUUCUCCCUAGUACGAGAGGACCGGGAGGAACGCACCUCUGGUGUACCAGUUAUCGUGCCAACGGUAAACGCUGGGUAGCCAUGAGCGGAGAGGAUAACCGCUGAAAGCAUCUAAGUAGGAAGCCCGCCUCAAGAUGAGUAUUCCCAUGGGGUAACCCAGUAAGGUCACGGGAAGAACACCCGUUGAUAGGCUCUACGUGGAAGCGCAGUAAUGUGUGAAGCGGAGGAGUACUAAUAGACCGAGGGCUUGAC
rnacentral:rRNA from 1 species